UACAGAGGGUGCGAGCGUUGUUCGGAAUUAUUGGGCGUAAAGGGCGCGUAGGCGGUGCGGUAAGUCACCUGUGAAAUCUCCUGGCUCAACUAGGAGCUUGCAGGCGAAACUGCCGUGCUGGAGUGUGGGAGAGGUGCGUGGAAUUCCUGGUGUAGCGGUGAAAUGCGUAGAUAUCAGGAGGAACACCUGUGGCGAAAGCGGCGCACUGGACCACAACUGACGCUGAGGCGCGAAAGCUAGGGGAGCAAACAGG
rnacentral:rRNA from 1 species